rnacentral:rRNA from 1 species
AGUGAGGAAUAUUGNNNNNNNGUCGAAAGACUGAUCCAGCCAUGCCGCGUGCAGGAUGAAUGCCCUAUGGGUUGUAAACUGCUUUUAUACGGGAAGAACACCACCCACGUGUGGGUGACUGACGGUACCGUAAGAAUAAGGACCGGCUAACUCCGUGCCAGCAGCCGCGGUAAUACGGAGGGUCCAAGCGUUAUCCGGAAUCAUUGGGUUUAAAGGGUCCGUAGGCGGGCUAUUAAGUCAGAGGUGAAAGUUUGCAGCUCAACUGUAAAAUUGCCUUUGAUACUGGUAGUCUUGAGUUAUAGUGAAGUGGUUAGAAUAUGUGGUGUAGCGGUGAAAUGCAUAGAUAUCACAUAGAAUACCAAUUGCGAAGGCAGAUCACUAACUAUAUACUGACGCUGAUGGACGAAAGCGUGGGGAGCGAACGGGAUUAGAUACCCCGGUAGUCCACGCCGUAAACGAUGGAUACUAGCUGUUGGAAUUUUUCAGUGGCUAAGCGAAAGUGAUAAGUAUCCCACCUGGGGAGUACGUUCGCAAGAAUG